AUUGAACGCUGGCGGCAUGCCUUACACAUGCAAGUCGAACGGUAACAGGUCUUCGGAUGCUGACGAGUGGCGAACGGGUGAGUAAUACAUCGGAACGUGCCUAGUAGUGGGGGAUAACUACUCGAAAGAGUGGCUAAUACCGCAUGAGAUCUACGGAUGAAAGCAGGGGAUCGCAAGACCUUGUGCUACUAGAGCGGCCGAUGGCAGAUUAGGUAGUUGGUGGGAUAAAAGCUUACCAAGCCGACGAUCUGUAGCUGGUCUGAGAGGACGAUCAGCCACGCUGGAACUGUGACAGGGCCCAGACUCCUACGGGAGGCAGCAGUGGGGAAUUUUGGACAAUGGGCGCAAGCCUGAUCCAGCAAUGCCGCGUGCAGGAUGAAGGCCUUCGGGUUGUAAACUGCUUUUGUACGGAACGAAAAGCCCUGGGUUAAUACCCUGGGGUCAUGACGGUACCGUAAGAAUAAGCACCGGCUAACUACGUGCCAGCCGCCGCCGUAACAC
rnacentral:rRNA from 1 species